CACUGUAACUAUCAUCAUCACCACCACUCAUCAUCACGAGUAGAUUUAUCAUAAACACCAUCAUCAUUAUUAUCCUCAUCAUAACCAUCUGCUACAGUAAAGUCCUGUGUGUACUGACCAGUGUGUGUGUGUCCUAUAGGUGUGACAGAGCAGUGGAUCUAUGAGCUCCAAGGAGUUCCUGAGGAUUUACAGCCAGGAUGCUACACCACAGAUACACAGCAGCAACAGGGUGUGUCCCUGGUAAAGUCUUCACCUGCAGGACCCUGGUUGAGAUGCAGCAAUGCCUCAAAUAUAUGGUUUGGCCCCACAAAUGCUCAAAUUAGCUUCCACACGCAUACACGCAUACUUCCUGCCUCAUGUCAUGUAUGUGUCGCAUCGAGGAGGCAGGGAGCGCUUCCCUUAGAUCAUCCACUCUGCCAAAGUCAAACCAUUUCCAUGUCAUGGUAUCAAUAAAUGCUCAAAUCUAAUAUGU